rnacentral:rRNA from 1 species
UGCGUAGGCGGCCUGACAAGUCAGAGGUGAAAGGCUACGGCUUAACCGUAGUAAGCCUUUGAAACUGACAGGCUUGAGUGCAGGAGAGGAAAGUGGAAUUCCUAGUGUAGCGGUGAAAUGCGUAGAUAUUAGGAGGAACACCAGUGGCGAAGGCGACUUUCUGGACUGUAACUGACACUGAGGCACGAAAGCGUGGGGAGCAAACAGGAUUAGAUACCCUGGUAGUCC